rnacentral:rRNA from 1 species
GACGAACGCUGGCGGCGUGCUUAACACAUGCAAGUCGAACGGAAAGGCCCUGCUUUUGUGGGGUGCUCGAGUGGCGAACGGGUGAGUAACACGUGAGUAACCUGCCCUUGACUUUGGGAUAACUUCAGGAAACUGGGGCUAAUACCGGAUAGGAGCUCCUGCUGCAUGGUGGGGGUUGGAAAGUUUCGGCGGUUGGGGAUGGACUCGCGGCUUAUCAGCUUGUUGGUGGGGUAGUGGCUUACCAAGGCUUUGACGGGUAGCCGGCCUGAGAGGGUGACCGGUCACAUUGGGACUGAGAUACGGCCCAGACUCCUACGGGAGGCAGCAGUGGGGAAUAUUGCACAAUGGGCGGAAGCCUGAUGCAGCAACGCCGCGUGCGGGAUGACGGCCUUCGGGUUGUAAACCGCUUUCGCCUGUGACGAAGCGUGAGUGACGGUAAUGGGUAAAGAAGCACCGGCUAACUACGU